rnacentral:rRNA from 1 species
UACGGAGGGUGCAAGCAUUAAUCGGAUUUACUGGGCGUAAAGGGCGCGUAGGUUGAUUGGCAAGUCAGAUGUGAAAUCCUGGAGCUCAACUCCAGAACUGCAUUUGAAACUACCUUUCUAGAGGAUAGGAGGAGAAAAUGGAAUUCCACAAGUAGCGGUGAAAUGCGUAGAUAUGUGGAAGAACACCGGUGGCGAAGGCGAUUUUCUAUCUUAUUCCUGACGCUGAUGCGCGAAAGCUAGGGGAGCAAACAGG